rnacentral:rRNA from 1 species
GACGAACGCUGGCGGCGUGCUUAACACAUGCCAGUCGAACGGAAAGGCCCUGCUUUUGUGGGGUGCUCGAGUGGCGAAAGGGUGAGUAACACGUGAGUAACCUGCCCUUGACUUUGGGAUAACUUCAGGAAACUGGGGCUAAUACCGGAUAGGAGCUCCUGCUGCAUGGUGGGGGUUGGAAAGUUUCGGCGGUUGGGGAUGGACUCGCGGCUUAUCAGCUUGGUGGUGGGGUAGUGGCUUACCAAGGCUUUGACGGGUAGCCGGCCUGAGAGGGUGACCGGCCACAUUGGGACUGAGAUACGGCCCAGACUCCUACGGGAGGCAGCAGUGGGGAAUAUUGCACAAUGGGCGGAAGCCUGAUGCAGCAACGCCGCGUGCGGGAUGACGGCCUUCGGGUUGUAAACCGCUUUCGCCUGUGACGAAGCGUGAGUGACGGUAAUGGGUAAAGAAGCACCGGCUAACUACGU